AGAGUUUGAUUCUGGCUCAGGAUGAACGCCGGCGGUGUGCCUAAUACAUGCAAGUCGUACGCACUGGCCCAACUGAUUGAUGGUGCUUGCACCUGAUUGACGUUGGAUCACCAGUGAGUGGCGGACGGGUGAGUAACACGUAGGUAACCUGCCCCGGAGCGGGGGAUAACAUUUGGAAACAGAUGCUAAUACCGCAUAACAACAAAAGCCACAUGGCUUUUGUUUGAAAGAUGGCUUUGGCUAUCACUCUGGGAUGGACCUGCGGUGCAUUAGCUAGUUGGUAAGGUAACGGCUUACCAAGGCGAUGACGCAUAGCCGAAUUGAGAGACUGAUCGGCCACAAUGGAACUGAGACACGGUCCAUAUUCCUACGGGAGGCAGCAGUAGAGAAUCUUCCACUAUGGGCGCAAGCCUGAUGGAGCAACACCGCGUGAGUGAAGAAGGGUUUCGGCUCGUAAAGCUCUGUUGUUGGAGAAGAACGUGCGUGAGAGUAACUGUUCACGCAGUGACGGUAUCCAACCAGAAAGUCACGGCUAACUACGUGCCAGCAGCCGCGGUAAUACGUAGGUGGCAAGCGUUAUCCGGAUUUAUUGGGCGUAAAGCGAGCGCAGGCGGUUGCUUAGGUCUGAUGUGAAAGCCUUCGGCUCAACCGGAGAAUUGCAUCAGAAACUGUUGAACUUGAGUGCAGAAGAGGAGAGUGGAACUCCAUGUGUAGCGGUGGAAUGCGUAGAUAUAUGGAAGAACACCAGUGGCGAAGGCGGCUCUCUGGUCUGCAACUGACGCUGAGGCUCGAAAGCAUGGGUAGCGAACAGGAUUAGAUACCCUGGUAGUCCAUGCCGUAAACGAUGA
rnacentral:rRNA from 1 species